rnacentral:rRNA from 1 species
UACGUAGGUGGCAAGCGUUAUCCGGAUUUACUGGGUGUAAAGGGCGCGUAGGCGGGAAUGCAAGUCAGAUGUGAAAUCUCCGGGCUUAACCCGGAAACUGCAUUUGAAACUGUAUUUCUUGAGUGUCGGAGAGGUAGAUGGAAUUCCUAGUGUAGCGGUGAAAUGCGUAGAUAUUAGGAGGAACACCAGUGGCGAAGGCGAUCUACUGGACGAUAACUGACGCUGAGGCGCGAAAGCGUGGGGAGCAAACAGGAUUAGAUACACUGGUAGUCCACGCUGUAAACGAUGAAUACUAGGUGUGGGGGGACUGACCCCCUCCGUGCCGCAGUUAACACAAUAAGUAUUCCACCUGGGGAGUACGACCACAAGGUUGAA